rnacentral:rRNA from 1 species
AUUGAACGCUGGCGGCAGGCCUAACACAUGCAAGUCGAGCGAGCGGCGGACGGGUGAGUAAUGUAUGGGGAACUGCCUGAUGGCGGGGGAUAACUACUGGAAACGGUAGCUAAUACCGCAUACCAUCAGCUGAACCCAUAUGGGAUUAGCUUGUAGGUGAGGUAACGGCUCACCUAGGCGACGAUCCCUAGCUGGUCUGAGAGGAUGAUCAGCCACACUGGAACUGAGACACGGCCCAGACUCCUACGGGAGGCAGCAGUGGGGAAUAUUGAACAAUGGGCGCAAGCCUGAUGCAGCCAUGCCGCGUGUAUGAAGAAGGCCUUCGGGUUGUAAAGUACUUUCAGUGGGGAGGCGUUACCGGCAGAAGAAGCACCGGCUAACUCCGUGCCAGCAGCCGCGGUAAUUC